rnacentral:rRNA from 1 species
CCUACGGGUGGCUGCAGUGGGGAAUAUUGGACAAUGGGCGAAAGCCUGAUCCAGCCAUGCCGCGUGUGUGAAGAAGGCCUUCGGGUUGUAAAGCACUUUCAGUGGGGAAGAAAGCCUUGGGGCUAAUACCCUCGAGGAAGGACAUCACCCACAGAAGAAGCACCGGCUAACUCCGUGCCAGCAGCCGCGGUAAUACGGAGGGUGCGAGCGUUAAUCGGAAUUACUGGGCGUAAAGCGCGCGUAGGCGGUCUGAUAAGCCGGUUGUGAAAGCCCCGGGCUCAACCUGGGACGGCAUCCGGAACAGUACAGGGAAAGGCAUGGAGAGGAUGAUGGAAUCGCAUGUGUAGGGAUGAAUUGAGGAGAGACAUGGCUGAAGGGCAGUGGCGAAGGCGACAAUAUGGACUAUAACUGACGCUGAGGCGCGAAAGCGUGGGCAGAAAACAGGAUUAGAGACACCGGAAGUC